UUGUUGAGUGGUUUGGAUGUGGGGGUUUGCUGGCCUCUUAAAUGGUUCAGCUCCCCUGAAAUGCAUUAGCAGAACAACCCUGUUCAUUGGUGUGAUAACUAUCUACGCUAUUGUGAAGGGAAGUUCAGCUUUCUAACUGUCUUUGGACAAUUCAUCAUUAAUGUGACCUCAAAUCAGGUAGGACUACCCGCUGAACUUAA
rnacentral:misc_RNA from 1 species